rnacentral:rRNA from 1 species
GAUGAACGCUGGCGGCGUGCCUAAUACAUGCAAGUCGAGCGAACAGACGAGGAGCUUGCUCCUCUGACGUUAGCGGCGGACGGGUGAGUAACACGUGGAUAACCUACCUAUAAGACUGGGAUAACUUCGGGAAACCGGAGCUAAUACCGGAUAAUAUAUUGAACCGCAUGGUUCAAUAGUGAAAGACGGUUUUGCUGUCACUUAUAGAUGGAUCCGCGCCGCAUUAGCUAGUUGGUAAGGUAACGGCUUACCAAGGCAACGAUGCGUAGCCGACCUGAGAGGGUGAUCGGCCACACUGGAACUGAGACACGGUCCAGACUCCUACGGGAGGCCGCAGUAGGGAAUCUUCCGCAAUGGGCGAAAGCCUGACGGAGCAACACCGCGUGAGUGAUGAAGGUCUUCGGAUCGGAAAACUCUGUUAUUAGGGAAGAACAAAUGUGUAAGUAACUAUGCACAUCUUGACGGUACCUAGUCAGAAAGCCACGGCUAACUACGUG